GACGAACGCUGGCGGCGUGCUUAACACAUGCAAGUCGAACGGAAAGGCCCUGCUUGCAGGGUACUCGAGUGUCGAACGGGUGAGUAACACGUGUGUGUUCUGCCCUGCACUUCGGGGUAAGCCUGGGAAACUGGGUCUAAUACCGGAUAGGAGCCAUUUUUAGUGUGAUGGUUGGAAAGUUUUUUCGGUGUGGGAUGAGCUCGCGGCCUAUCAGCUUGUUGGUGGGGUAAUGGCCUACCAAGGCGGCGACGGGGAGCCGGCCUGGGAGGGUGGACGGCCACAUUGGGACUGGGAUACGGGCCAGACUCCUACGGGGGGGAGGAGGGGGGAAUAUUGGACAAUGGGCGCAAGCCUGAUGCAGCGACGCCGGGGGGGGGAUGACGGGCUUCGGGUUGGAAACUCCCUUCGCUAGGGACGAAGCUUUUUGUGACGGUACCUAGAAAAGAAGCACCGGCUAACUACGUG
rnacentral:rRNA from 1 species